UGCUUGCUUAUUCCCACUUAUUAUAGAUAGUAAUAUAUUUUUACAUCCGCAUGUAGGUGCAAAGCAUAAUCAACAUUUGAAUUUAGGAAUAGCCUACUUUGUUGUAGCUGGUUGGAUGAUCUUCUUGUAUCAAUUAAAGCAGAGAAAUGAAGAAAAGGAAAGGAAAGUCAAAAUCAAGGAAGUGUAAAGGUACUUCUGUUGAUGGUACUCAUGAUCGAUAAACUAGUGGCUUAAGUAUUGCUUGGUACUUUUUCCAAGACACUAUGUACAAAGAAGACAAAAUGGAGUAAUAUAUAAAUAGUAUAACAUGUAGGUAUCAAGUGUAAAUAAUGUAGUCAUAACCGUAAAUAGCGAUUGUCAUUUGCCAACCAUACAGUACUAAUGAAACUCAAGAGUGUUGCACCACACUGUGAGGGAUCAGGUCCCUUAAAGUUAGUCACAAGCAAUCAAACAGUAAAACAUAGGAAAACUAAAGACUUUGCAGGAAGGUAAAAACACAAAGAUUUUAACGUGGAAACCUCCUUGCUCAAAGGAGGAAAAACCACGGCUUGUCCUAACAAGCACU